rnacentral:sRNA from 1 species
CAUGGAUUGAUUUCCUUGAUGACUUUUUUAUUUUUGUCUUUACAUUUGCAAGUAACCCUCUCACUCACGAUGGCUCCCCUUCGGCCAUAGAAGCCCCCUGUGGUGCUCAUCCUCGGCGGCACGUCCACCGUCGCAAGGGCUAUUGCUGUUGUAGCACGUCGAAGCAGGGUCCGAAAUGCUUAGCAAAUCCAAAGCCAUUUAUUCAUGCCACGCCUAUCACCCCAUCCCUCGAUGAACAUGCUUUCAAAAAACGCUCCAUCUGCCUCGAUGGAUCACUUGUCCAAAGGGUUUUGGGAUUCAAACCGAAAUAUCCCAAGGUCGAAAUAGAAGAGAUCAAGGUUAUCGUUCGGGAUUUCAAGGAGGAUAGAUUAUGGCCUAAACUGUCUUAAUGGAUAUAUGAUUAAAUACAAGGGAACGACUUUUACGAACAACUGACGAAAUUCAUCAUGACCAGGAUCUAUCGUCAAUUAAUUUCUCGUUUGCCUUGAUCUUUUUUUUGGUAUGGAAUGUGUUAGGAAACAUUUGCCAAGUUUAUACUUUUUGAACUUUCUGUUGAUAUGUUUUAAUUACUUUUCUUGCAUGUCGCAUCAAAUCUACACACUUGGUGCUUGCUUGUUCUAAUGUAAUGUUCACAAUGCAAUAAAGUGUCUUCCAGUC